CCCCGGCCAGCUGCGCUCUGUCUUGGGGGUGAGCCGGCAGCCAUUCCCCCCAUGAGCCCAGGUCCCCGCUUCAGUGCCUUUAGUUAAAUCAGGGUGUGUGCACUAGGGUCGAGCAGGCUCUUUUCCCCAGUUGCGGUCGCGCCCUUGCUCCAGGAUGAGGCACGGAACGACCCACGCCUGCGGUCCUGCCCCGGGAUCCUGAAGGGCGGCAAACACGGUUGGCCCCGCAGGCGCUCACCCCGCCCUCCCCUCUGGCUGUUCCCUAUCUGGAGUGACUUAGAGGAGAGAAGCAGUGUGGUGCAGUGGGCCAUCUGACUUCAUGGAUCAGACAAAGGGAAUCGUUGCCUUCUACAUCCGGAUGUUGGCCCCUAAACGGCACACCUCUGCAUGUUCAACAGCAGUGGCAGCAGCUUCAGCAAACAUCAGCAUCACAGUUGCCAUUCAGCAGAUUGGAAAUUACCAGAGUCAUAUCUAAUAACUGCAGUGAGAUAAACCAGCAUAUGACAAUAGACACUCAGGAAGUUGAGGCCAGAAGGAAUAAAAUGUUCCCUAGACACUUUAAUCCUGGUUGUGUUUUCUGCCUUGACAAAAUUGCUGAAAUGGAAGAAAUUGAAACUCAGAAUUCUGCACCCAGAGCUAUAUAGCUGGUAAAUGGCAGUGCCUGGAUUAAAAUAACUAAUCAUCAGGAUCAUGAUCAUUAAGAUUGAUGACAUUUAUGUGUACAUACUGAUGAUCACAACUGGGAUGAUGGCCUUCCAUAUGUUAUUUAUUCCAACAACAACUUCUUGAGUUAGUCACAUCAUGCCCAUUCUACAUAUGAAGAAAGUAAAUUUUGAAGGUUAAAGGGCUCCAUCAAAGUUGUAUGAUGGGCAUGCAGCAGCUCUGGAAUUUUAACUAGGAUAUGAAGGAUUAUUCUGCCCUCACCCAUUCUACCAAGACUCUGAAAACAGAUUUCUCAUGUCCUGCCCUAUGCCUGCCUCAACUGACAUGUUUCAAUCAAGCAUGUGAGAGGGUAAGUUCCAUUUCCCACUCUUGCCCCCAAGGGUCUGACUAAUGCUGCUCUCUUCAAAGAACUGCUAACAUCUCUAGUUUAAGCAAUGUGCAAAAUAACUGAUGCAAAUAAAAUCUCUUUCCCCAAGGCCUCUCUUAUGCAUGGUUCAUUUUCUGGACUAACAAGACCAAGAGGUGGCCCUGCAGGGUGAACCCAUGACAUGUUGGUAACUUCAGUGCCUCAGUGGAGCCAUGAGCAAGAUUUAAUGGAAAACAGGCACAUUUUAUGCCAACAGGGAACUGAAGCUGUCUGUCAACAGUCAUGUGAAUGAGCUGUUUUGGAAGUCCAGCCCUACUUGACAUCCUGACUGCAACCUCAGGAGAGAUUCUGAGACAGCCACCCAGCUGUUCUUUCUCAGAUCACUUACACUGGGCCAGCUGCCAUGCUAUUCUAUGGGAAGGAUCACGUGAAAAAGAAGUGAGGCUUCUGGCUAACAGAUAAAUGAGUGAUAAAUGAACUUGGAAGUGAAUCCACCAGCCCCAGUCAAACCUUCAAAUGACCGCAGGUCUGGCCAACAUCUUGAUUAUAAACCACGUAAGUGUCCCUGUACCAGAAUCAUUUCAUUAAGCUGCUGCCAAAUUCCUGACCCACAGACACUGAGAUAAUAAAUGCUUGUUGUUUUAAGACAUUAAAUUUUCAGGUAAUUUGUUACGCAACAAUCGAUAACAAAUGCAAGCAGAUAUAAUGAAAUGAGAAAUUCCAGGAUAAUUAAGGAGGCAUUGUUCAAAAGAUUGCUAGAAUAGCUGAAUUCCUAGGUUCACAUGGUAUCUAAUUUACUACUUAUGUCUAUCUCCUUUCUGCUGGCUGGAUUCAAUGCCAGCACCAGGGAAGCAGUUGGUUGCAUAUGUCUGCCUCCCCUAGGGAACUCACAGGCAGAGCAGCUGUUCAUGCUGCACUCUACUAAAGCAGUCUACCCUGACAUUGGAUAUGCUGGACCCUCAGGCACUACUACAUGCCUGGAGGCCUAUAGAGCUUGUGGUAUACAAGGAACUCGUCAAACAUUAUGAUGAACAAAGAUGUUAUUCCAUGUUUUUGCAAGACUAAGGGCAUUGAGAUUUGCCCAGGAUAUGGAAGACUCAAUGGCAGUAGACUGCUUUGUGAACUGAGGCCUAUCUCAGAAGAUAGAGUGGAGGUAUGAUCAUAUUUAUGCCUUGAAGAUAUCGACUGAUCACACUGGCUGCAUUCUCUAUCCCCUACACCCCAUUUCUUUCCAUCUUUCACCAAAUAGUCCAGAAAACAGACUCCCUCAAAUACUGUUUUUGCAGAUUAAAUUGUCAUUACCUUUAGAUGAGCCAUUACCCAAUUUGCCAAUGACUUUGUCUCAGUUCUCUUUCACCUUGAGUUGUGUGAAGAAUUAAGCCCUGGUGAAUGAACUGGUUCACUUUCCUAUACCACAUGAUCAAAUUCCUCAUCUUUGUUGAUUUCUGAUGCAUUCUCCCAGCAAGUUCUUGUCUUGUUUUCUUUGUAUUCUCCAUCUUCAACUCUUUAAGUACAAUAAUUAUAAUGAUAGUAAAAUUUAUGACUAAUGUUUUUGGUAUUUUGAAUUAAUAAGAGUGUUCAAAUACAGCUUUAUUUAGAAUGGGAAAAUAGACUAUUGGACAGUCUGGCAAUACAGACUUGAGACUCACCUUCAUAGACGAUAUUUGAAGAUGGUUGCAUAUAAGAUCACGGGGAACAAGGACAGAAAGAAAAAGAGGCACAGAGAAUUAGACUUAGUACACCUUUUCAGGGAGUUGAAGAAAAAGUUAGAAAAAAAAUAAGAUUCAUUUAAGCCACAUAUUAUUACUUAAUAUCUGUCCUUUACCAGGGCAACUAAAAAGGAAUUAUAAUAAUUGAAACUGAUUUUCAGUUGUACUUAUUUCUUUUUACCUUUCUAAUAAGGAAACUAAGUUGCUAAGUAUUGACAGAGAAAAGAUCAUUAGAGAUCUGUGUAACAUAUUUGCUGGGCAAUUGGUCAUUGGAAAAAAGUCAGUUUAUUGUUUUUGUUUAUUUUAUUUAAAUCCAAGUUAAUUAACAUAUAGUGUGAUAAUGGUUUCAGGAGCAGAAUUUAGUAACUCUUCACUUAGAUAUAACACCCAGUGCCAGUUUAUUGUUAAUCAAGCAGUAAUUUGAAUGCUUUAUUAGGUGAGUAGGCGUUCGAUAUCACUGUUAAAAGUUAACUGCUAUUGUUCAAAGAUGGAAUAAUCUCUGAUAAAAUUAAAAAUUUAAGUUUCCUUAUAUAGAGAAAAACACAAGUGAUUCCUAUUCCUCAGGAAAUCUAUCUGCUGUGAAAGCAUAAUUUCAACAUUCAAGAAGAGAAAAGCUAGUCUUAAAUUCCUUUCAGAUCAAAUUAAAUCAGCAGAUGGGUUGUAUUAUGAAAUGAAAAGAAGGCAAAAAUAACUUGUCAAAUGUGUUGUUCAUGAAAAUGGUUUAGAAAAAUUAAUAUAAAUGAAAUUUUUACAUAAAUUCAUUUCAUAAGUUUUAUGGGCAGAGGACAAGGUUUUUGGUGGAAGAAAUAUUAAGAAAAAUUCAAAAUGAAGAAAAAUAUUUAAAAUAUUUUUGUUUAUUCUAAUGGAGCAAAUGCAUGUGAGGAGUUUAAAUUACUGUAAAAGUCUAUGAAGUUAACAGUGAUUUGGAAGCCGUGAUAGGUAGAAUAAUAGCUUCCCCCACAAAUAUGCCCAAUGCCUUAGUUCUUGGAACCUGUGAAUAUGUUACCUUACAUGGCAAAAGAGACCUUGUAGAUGUGGUUAAAGAAACAGACCUUCAAAUGGGGCGAUUAUCCUGGAUCACUUGUGUGUACUCAGUCUAAAGAGAUGAGUCCAUAAAAGUAGAGAGACUUUCCUGGCUGGGUCAAAGAGAAAAGAAAGAUAAAGAGGAGAGAUUUGAAGCUAGGGAAGGACCUGACCCCCCCAUUGCCAGUUUUGAAGAGCCAAGAAAUGCAAUAGCCUUGAGAAGCUAGAGACAGUCCUCAGCUGACAGCCAGUCAACAUUGGUCCUACAACUAUAGGGAACUGAAUUCUGCUAACAACCUGAAUGAGCAAGGACAUGGAUCCUGCCCUCAAGACUCCAGAAAGGAACAUAGCUUUGACUUUAGGCUGGUGAGACCCAUGUUAGACUUCUGACCUAUAGAGCUGUAAGAUAGUACAUUUGUGUUGUGUUAAGCCACUAAAUGUGUAGCAAUUUGUUAGAGAAGCAAUGGAAAAGUAACACAACAAUUUUAUUGAAAAUAUAAAUAACUAUUAAAUGGCCUUCAGUAAAUAUCCCAGUCUAGGCAAGUAUGUACUAAAGCCCUCUAUAUACCUUUUAGUGGAGCUGACUUUUAGCUUCCAAUUAAAAACAAAAUCUAAUCCAAUUCCUAAAGUGCCUAUCAUUGUUUUGAAUUAUAGUUUAACUAAAGAAGAUAACACUGAAAUCAUGUUUUCAGUUGUUAUUACAAAUAAUUAACAAUAACGACUCAGGUUUAUUCUCUAGCUUUCUCAUACCUACCAAAAUUUAUUUGUGAAAGGAAAAAUUCACCCCGUAAGAAUUUCUGUAAAAUGAUGACAUAGAUGGACACUGUGUUAUAGAUGGACAACCAACUAAGUUGGUUAUAUAUGCAUAUCUAAUGGUUUUCUUGGCUAUGCUAAGAAGGCUGACACAUAAGGUCACUAUAUAUUCCCUUCCACUAGAGAAUAGAAAUUCAGCUUAACUCAAUAAUUUGUUAAUGCCUGCAGUAUGGCAUUGCAGAAUGAGCAUGGUUCUGGGAAUCAGAAAUCACUGGUUGAAUCCCAUAUUCACCAGAUAUUGUGUCAGACAAGUCAGUGAAUCUCUCUGAAUGACAGUUUCCUAAUUUAUGAUAUGGGAAUAACAUCUACCUUACAAGUUUAUUCUUGAAAUAGAAUGAAAUUUCUCUUUAAAUAAUAUACUGUCAUCAUAAUGUAUAGUAUUAUCUACAAACACUGAGUGUGAAUGUGUUAUUUUGGGACUUACCACCAGGCACUAGAGAAAAUGGUACCAAAAAUAUAGAAAAUAAAACUUGAGUGGAGUUAGGGAGGGAAGCAAGGUGGAGGUGGUAGGAAUGUUUCCCAUCAAACUGGAAAACUGACCAGAGCAGCAGAAGGGAUGCUGGCAGCCCAGGUGAUUGAGAUCAAAAUAAAGAAGGGAUCCCAAAUUCUACCCAACUGGCACCAAAUUUCCUGAGAUAUCUAGAAGAGAGGGACUCCUGAUUUGAGUCCUUUGGGCAGUGCUGGUUUUUAGGGUCAGCUUGGGAAGCUUCUGGCAAGGGCUUACUCAGACUCCAACGUGUCUAAAUUCAACUUCGAGGACAAGGACUCCUGAUGUACCACCUGGUCUGGAUCUUAUUGAUUCCAGGGAUGGGUAGAGCUGAGCAUCUUGGGAGCAGUUGUCAUCAGAGCCUCAGAGGCAGGACUGAGGGGAUAGAUGGGAUUUGAACUGAGGGAAACACAACUGAAGCCUGGACCUCUGUGUAUCAAUUGGAUCAUAUUAAUAGCCAUUACUUGAUAUUUCUUUACCUGUGACCUCACCUAAAUAAUGCAGUUACCUUUCUGCAGCUUUAACUCUUUAGGUUAGUUUUAACUUUAAGGUUGAAUAAAUAGAUCUAUUUUUUUUUUUUUAAGAAAUAGAUCUAAUUUAAGCAAAAAGAGGGAUUUUGUUUGCAGAAACUGAAAUGGUACACAAAACCUCAGGAUGAGAUAACAGGGACUCAGAAUAUAUGUCUAACAAAAGAAGUGAGGGGAUAAAGGUAUCUGCUUUAGACUUUUGGGUGGUUUUUUAUUUCUGUUUUCUCUGCACACCUAAUUCCAUCACUUCUCUAUUCUGGCAGAAAAAUUUGGUUUCUAACAACUUUUGAGUUUUAUGUAAAAUAUACUCAGCCACCCAGAAAGUCUCCUAUUACCAGUUCAAAAAUCCCUGGGGCAAGAGCUGCCAAUAGCCAAAGCUAUAAUAAUUUGAGCAACCAAAAAUAUAGCGUUGACUUGUAGCUCAAAGUAUAAAAUAAAUACCCAUGAAUUCACACUAAUAUAAAUAAAUGAUGAAAGAAAGAGAAAGAAAUAGAGACAGAUCUCCUCUAUAGAAAAAUUUCAAAUGAUUUAUGUAGAUAAAAGAGUUAAAGAGUUAAAGAGAUAAAAGAGUUAAAGAGUCAGUCAGAGAUGAAGAGUGCAAUAUACACUCUUGAUGCAAUGAACAGCAUGUUAGAAGAAGCAGAGGGAUGAAUUAAUGACAAAGUAAUGAUAAAAUAAAGACAAACUAAUGGCAAGCAAUGAAGCUGAACAAAAGAGAGAAAGAAAUAUGCUAAAUGAGAAUAGACUUAGGGAACUCAGUGACUCCAUCAAACAUAAUAGCAUUACACUAUAGGAGUCCCACAAGAUGAAGAGAGAUAAUGGGGAGAAAAUAAUUUAUUUGAAGAAAUAAUAGCCGAAAAUUUCUGUAAUCUAGGGAAGGAAAGACAUCCAGAUCCAGGAAGCACAGAGAACUCCCAUAAAAAUCAACAAAAGCAGCCCAACACCAAGAGAUACAGUAAUUAAAUUUGCAAAAUAUAGUGAUAAAGAAAAAUCUUAAAAGCAGCAAGACAAAAGAAGUCAUUAACUUACAAAAGAAAUCCCAUAAGGCCAGCUAGAGAUUUUUCAACAGAAUGUGGCAAGCCAGGCGGGAGUGGCAUGAUAUAUUCAAAGAGCUGAAUGGGAAAAAUCUGCAGCCAAGAAUACUCUACCCAGCAAGG